rnacentral:lncRNA from 1 species
AAUAUGGAUCUCAAAUAAAUUGAGUUGCAUUUCGACCUCUGUUCUAUUAACUCGUAUUGCUUAAAUUUCUUGGGGAUGGGUGGGGAGAGAGUAGCAUUUAAGAUGUGAGAGUAUUUGGAUAGACUAAUCAAAGUGUUUCAAUGAUGAUCAUCAAAGAGACGCAUUACAUGUCUGUGUUUUCUGAUACUUGUUACAUGCACGUAUAUCUCAAAUAAAUUGAAUUUCAUUUCUGUCUCACUUGGUGGAACUUACAUCCACCAGCACGAUAUAAAAAAUAAUAAAUGAGAAGGAGUUCAACCUUGUUUUCUAUCCUUCAUUUUUUCAACUGUGACUUCUGAUUUUGAAUUCUCUAUAGGUUAUUGGGAGCAUGCACUCUGUCCAGGAUUAGGGUUGUAGGAUAGGGGCUCCUAGAGUUUUUCUUACUUCUCACCCGGGGUUGCGUGAGGCUUGGUAGGGCUAUCCAUAGAUGAUUUGUGUAUUGGAUUGUGUCUCCCUCAUGGUAGUUAUUUAAGGUAGUUAAUGUAUGAUAUUAUUGCAUGCUAUUUUAUUUAUGGUUCUUAUGUUUAGAUAAUUAUUUACGAUAUUUCUGCUGGAGGCAUGCUAUUUUAUUUAUGGUUUUUAUUUAUGGUUCUUAUGUUUAGAUAAUAAUUUACGAUAUUUCUGCUGGAGUUACUAAUGCUCUUUUGUUUUUGUUUUUG